UACAGAGGUCCCAAGCGUUGUUCGGAUUCACUGGGCGUAAAGCGUGCGUAGGUGGUUGUUUAAGUCUGUUGUGAAAGCCCUGGGCUCAACCUGGGAAUUGCAGUGGAUACUGGGCGACUAGAGUGUGGUAGAGGGUAGUGGAAUUCCCGGUGUAGCAGUGAAAUGCGUAGAGAUCGGGAGGAACAUCCAUGGCGAAGGCAGCUACCUGGACCAACACUGACACUGAGGCACGAAAGCGUGGGGAGCAAACAGGG
rnacentral:rRNA from 1 species